rnacentral:tRNA from 1 species
GGUGUGGCGAAGCGGCAUUCCGGGACAAGCCGCGUCACAGCGCGACAUUGCGCAUCGGUCUUCGGAACCGGUGGUCGGGGGUUCGAAUCCCUCCGGGACUA